rnacentral:rRNA from 1 species
AUUGAACGCUGGCGGAAUGCUUUACACAUGCAAGUCGAACGGCAGCACGGGGCAACCUGGUGGCGAGUGGCGAACGGGUGAGUAAUACAUCGGAACGUGCCCAAUCGUGGGGGAUAACGUAGCGAAAGUUACGCUAAUACCGCAUACGAUCUACGGAUGAAAGCGGGGGAUCGCAAGACCUCGCGCGAGUGGAGCGGCCGAUGGCAGAUUAGGUAGUUGGUGGGAUAAAAGCUUACCAAGCCGACGAUCUGUAGCUGGUCUGAGAGGACGACCAGCCACACUGGGACUGAGACACGGCCCAGACUCCUACGGGAGGCAGCAGUGGGGAAUUUUGGACAAUGGGCGCAAGCCUGAUCCAGCCAUGCCGCGUGCAGGAUGAAGGCCUUCGGGUUGUAAACUGCUUUUGUACGGAACGAAACGGUGAGCUCUAAUAAAGCUUGCUAAUGACGGUACCGUAAGAAUAAGCACCGGCUAACUACGUGCCAGC